rnacentral:rRNA from 1 species
UACAGAGGGUGCGAGCGUUGUUCGGAAUUAUUGGGCGUAAAGGGCGCGUAGGCGGUGCCACAAGUCACUUGUGAAAUCCCCGGGCUUAACUCGGGGCCUGCAGGCGAAACUGUGGUGCUGGAGUAUGGGAGAGGUGCGUGGAAUUCCCGGUGUAGCGGUGAAAUGCGUAGAUAUCAGGAGGAACACCUGUGGCGAAAGCGGCUCACUGGACCACAACUGACGCUGAGGCGCGAAAGCUAGGGGAGCAAACAGG